GUGGCGUGUGCUGGCGUGGUGCACCCACAAAGGACUACAACUUCCAGGAUGCACCGCGGCCGUCGUGGGAUCGGUCCAUUGUGACAUCUCGAUGAUAGCGUCACUUGCAUCUCCACCUUCCCAGUAUAUCCGGUCACAGCGCAUCCGGUCUCGGCCUCGUGGCUCGUUUCAUUGUGUCGUGUUGUGCUGGAAGCUACUCGGCCGAUCAUCGGUGUGCGUUUCCUCUCGACCUGUGACCUGUGUCGAAGUCUUCUGGAACAUUUGGCUGCGAAGAGACGGCUUGUUUGCAAUGGCAAAGCAGUAUGCGGUGGUGAAUUUCACCGAGGAGGACCAUGUGUCCGCUGUGCCAAUUUCUUGGUUGGUGGUUGACAAGUGGAGUUGCCUGUGGCCAAAAGAUUUCGCCGGAUCCCGC